rnacentral:misc_RNA from 1 species
GCUUGUUGAUUUCCCGGAGUUUGUUGCAGCGACUCUACAUGUGCAUCAGUUAGAGGAGCAUAAUUUGUUAAAAUGGCAGCAAAGAUCGCAAACUGCUUUUGAGAAAUUUGACGUUGAUAGAGAUGGAUUCAUAACUCCAGAAGAACUUAGAAUGCAUACCGGCUUAAAAGGCUCUAUAGACCCAUUGCUCGAAGAAGCAGAUAUCGACA